CAGCAGCAGGGAGGACUUCAGAGACUGGAGCUUCUCCAUGAUCAUGAAUCUCUACAAUUUGCUGUAGAGAAGACUGGUCUACAGAGGGGAAUACCAAUACAGAAUUUACUGGAGCAUCGACGUCCUGAUGUUGGAGGACGUCCUGCUCCAGCUGAUCCUCAGCGAUGAGGACUUCAGAGACUGGAGCUUCAUGAAGAUCACAGAUGUCUAUAAUGUGCUGUAGAGAUGACUGAUCUAAAGAAGGGAAUACCAGUAAUAUUUAUAGAAUAUUGUAUAAUCAGAUUACAGCAGUUUUUCAAGGGGUCUUUUGAAAGAAAUAAACAUCUCCAAACAAUGUAAAUUGAUUGGUUUCUAAAUAAAAGUGUGUACUGA